UACGGAGGGUGCGAGCGUUAAUCGGAAUUACUGGGCGUAAAGGGUGCGUAGGUGGUUUGAUAAGUUAUCUGUGAAAUUCCUGGGCUUAACCUGGGGUGGUCAGAUGAUACUGUUGGACUAGAGUAUGGGAGAGGGUAGUGGAAUUUCCGGUGUAGCGGUGAAAUGCGUAGAGAUCGGAAGGAACACCAGUGGCGAAGGCGGCUACCUGGCUUAAUACUGACACUGAGGCACGAAAGCGUGGGGAGCAAACAGG
rnacentral:rRNA from 1 species